UCUCUGUGAUGCUUCCAAUGGAUCCUUCUGAGCCCUUUUAAGCAUAAUCAAAGGGUGUUUGAAGACAUUGUGUGACUGAGAGA
rnacentral:snoRNA from 1 species